AAAAUGCGCGAGGAUGAUAACAAGCUCCCUCUUCUGAGAUUUUUUUGCGGAUAAUUGUUGGCAGAAUCGAACCAUAAUUAAGCCUCGACUGAGCUC
rnacentral:snoRNA from 1 species